rnacentral:rRNA from 1 species
GGAGUUAGCCGGUGCUUCUUCUGUGAGUGAUGUCCUUCCUUCCGGCUAUUAACCCGCAGGCCUUCUUCCUCACUGAAAGUGCUUUACAACCCGAAGGCCUUCUUCACACACGCGGCAUGGCUGGAUCAGGGUUGCCCCCAUUGUCCAAUAUUCCCCACUGCUGCCUCCCGUAGGAGUCUGGGCCGUGUCUCAGUCCCAGUGUGGCUGAUCAUCCUCUCAGACCAGCUACGGAUCGUCGCCUUGGUGAGCCGUUACCUCACCAACCAGCUAAUCCGACAUAGGCUCAUCCGAUAGCGCGAGGCCCGAAGGUCCCCCGCUUUCCCCCGUAGGGCGUAUGCGGUAUUAGCCUGGGUUUCCCCAGGUUAUCCCCCACUACCGGGCAGAUUCCUAUGCAUUACUCACCCGUCCGCCGCUCGCCACCAGGGAGCAAGCUCCCCGUGCUGCCGCUCGACUUGCAUGUGUUAGGCCUGCCGCCAGCGUUCAAUCUGAGCCAUAAUCAAACUCUGA